rnacentral:rRNA from 1 species
AUUGAACGCUGGCGGCAGGCCUAACACACGCAAGUCGAGCGGAUGAAGGGAGCUUGCUCCUGGAUUCAGCGGCGGACGGGUGAGUAAUGCCUAGGAAUCUGCCUGGUAGUGGGGGAUAACGUCCGGAAACGGGCGCUAAUACCGCAUACGUCCUGAGGGAGAAAGUGGGGGAUCUUCGGACCUCACGCUAUCAGAUGAGCCUAGGUCGGAUUAGCUAGUUGGUGGGGUAAAGGCCUACCAAGGCGACGAUCCGUAACUGGUCUGAGAGGAUGAUCAGUCACACUGGAACUGAGACACGGUCCAGACUCCUACGGGAGGCAGCAGUGGGGAAUAUUGGACAAAGGGCGAAAGCCUGAUCCAGCCAUGCCGCGUGUGUGAAGAAGGUCUUCGGAUUGUAAAGCACUUUAAGUUGGGAGGAAGGGCAGUAAGUUAAUACCUUGCUGUUUUGACGUUACCAACAGAAUAAGCACCGGCUAACUUCGUG